rnacentral:lncRNA from 1 species
GUUGUCACACUCAUUUCUGUUACUUGCUGUGAUCCCGGACCUCUAGCCACCGACGGAUCCGUUUCUCCCAUUUACUUGAACUGAGGGCGUAACCCAGACAAGUUUACUUUUGACCUCGGGACGAUACCCAGGCAGGCCCUUACAUUCUAUGCUUCGGAACACAUCCACAAGCAUCCUUAUAACGCCUCUUAGUUAGUGCCCGAAUGGAGAUCAACCCACCGAG